rnacentral:rRNA from 1 species
UACGUAGGGGGCUAGCGUUGUCCGGAAUCAUUGGGCGUAAAGAGCGCGUAGGCGGCCAGAUAAGUCCGGUGUGAAAGUCAGAGGCUCAACCUUUGAAUGCCGCUGGAAACUGUCUGGCUAGAGUCCGGAAGGGGCGAGUGGAAUUCCUGGUGUAGCGGUGAAAUGCGCAGAUAUCAGGAGGAACACCAAUGGCGAAGGCAGCUCGCUGGAACGGUACUGACGCUGAGGCGCGAAAGCGUGGGGAGCAAACAGG